GGAGAAUUAUAAACUCGGUGGAAUAAGUCGGCCAUUUCGCUAUUCUCUCGGUCUAGCAUUAAUUGUACAAAAGAGAAGAAAUCGUCGGAAGUUGAUACAAGACUCGUGAGAAUAUCCGCUGAGACUAUUAUGUAUACGACAGCUACAUCACAAGGUGCACAACAUGGUACAGCUACAGUAGUAGUAUCAUCACAGUCUUUAUUAGCUGAUGAUCAUAUUAGAAAUGAUGGUGCUGCUAACUUUGAUCUAACAGAAAACAGAGUAUUCUACCUUCCUUCGUCUGACAACACUACUAGAGCAUCUCAGAAACAUGCUGUUAAUGGGAGUUGGGCAAUCAAGGAUUCAGAAA
rnacentral:lncRNA from 1 species